GCAUCAUGGCGGCCAUGGUCGCCAAGUAGGAGAACUUCUCUGCGCGAAUGGUCUUGGAGGAGAAAGGGGUCAUGGACAUGGGCCUCAUCUGAGGGGUGUGUUAGGACAUGGGGGUCAUGGUCAUGGUCAUGGUCAUGGUCAUGGGCCUCAUCUGAGGGGUGUGUUAGGACAUGGGGGUCAUGGUCAUGGUCAUGGUCAUGGUCAUGGUCAUGGUCAUGGACACGGACAUGGGCAUCAUCUGAGGGGUCUUUUAGUUCAUGGGGGACAUGGACAUAGACACGGACGUAGGCAUCAUCUGAGGGGUCU
rnacentral:lncRNA from 1 species